AUUGAACGCUGGCGGCAGGCCUAACACAUGCAAGUCGAACGGAUCCUUCGGGAUUAGUGGCGGACGGGUGAGUAACACGCGGGAACGUGCCCUUUGGUUCGGAACAACUCAGGGAAACUUGAGCUAAUACCGGAUGUGCCCUUCGGGGGAAAGAUUUAUCGCCAUUGGAGCGGCCCGCGUCUGAUUAGCUAGUUGGUGAGGUAAAGGCUCACCAAGGCGACGAUCCGUAGCUGGUCUGAGAGGAUGAUCAGCCACAUUGGGACUGAGACACGGCCCAAACUCCUACGUGAGGCAGCAGUGGGGAAUCUUGCGCAAUGGGCGAAAGCCUGACGCAGCCAUGCCGCGUGAAUGAUGAAGGUCUUAGGAUUGUAAAAUUCUUUCACCGGGGACGAUAAUGACGGUACCCGGAGAAGAAGCCCCGGCUAACUUCGUGCCAGCAGCCGCGGUAAUAC
rnacentral:rRNA from 1 species